CAGCAGCCGCGGGAAUACGAGGGGGGCAAGCGUUGUUCGGAUUUAUUGGGCGUAAAGGGUGCGUAGGCGGUUUGGCAAGUCUUGUGUGAAAUCUAUGGGCUCAACCCAUAGCCUGCACGAGAAACUACCGGGCUUGAGUGAUGGAGAGGUGAGUGGAAUUUCCGGUGUAGCGGUGAAAUGCGUAGAUAUCGGAAGGAACACCUGUGGCGAAAGCGGCUCACUGGACAUUAACUGACGCUGAUGCACGAAAGCUAGGGGAGCAAACAGGAUUAGAUACCCCUGUAGUCCCUGUCUCUUAUAA
rnacentral:rRNA from 1 species